rnacentral:rRNA from 1 species
AACGUAGGUACCGAGCGUUAUCCGGAUUUACUGGGCGUAAAGCGUGUUCAGGCGGCCUGGCAAGUCGGGCAUGAAAUCUCUCGGCUCAACCGGGAGAGGCUGUCCGAUACUGCUGGGCUUGAGGACGGUAGAGGGUGGUGGAAUUCCGCGUGUAGUGGUGAAAUGCGUAGAUAUGCGGAGGAACAGCAGUGGCGAAGGCGGCCACCUGGACCGUCCCUGACGCUCAAACACGAAAGCUAGGGUAGCGAACGGG